GGUCACGUUUCUGCUCACCGGACGUGGCGAUUUUCGAUUCACAGCAGUUUUCUUUGCAGGCCAGAUUUUUCACAAACCCACUCGUUUAAAAUGGUUUCCCAGGCAGCUGCAGAUUUGAAACAGUUUUGUCUGCAGAAUGCUCAACAUGACCCCCUGCUGACUGGAGUAUCUUCGAGUACAAAUCCCUUUAGACCCCAGAAAGUCUGUUCAUUUUUGUAGUAAGAUGAAUCUUUCAAAGGUUUCCUAAGCCACUUCUCAUGAACCAGUGAAUAUUCAAGGAGAGCUAAAUUUGAACUUGUACAAAAGCUUGUCUUCACAGUUACAUGUGCCAUACUAUACAAACUUCUACUUUUGUCAGUCCUUAACAUCUACCUCUCUGAAUUUUCAUGAAUUUCUAUUUCACAAGGGUUGUUUUAUAUACACUGGCAUCUGCAUAUAAUAAAAUAAACUUAAUACAAA